AAUUAACGCUGGCAGAGUGCAUAACACAUGCAAGUCGAGCGGAUCUGGUGCCCGCAAGGGUGCCAGAUUAGCGGCAGACGAGUGAGUAACACGUAAACAACCUGCCCUUGAAAGGCGAACAACCAGCCGAAAGGUUGGCUAAUACGCCGUACUAUCCUUAAAAGGCAUCUUUUGAGGAUGAGAGACCGUAAGGUCGUUCAAGGAGGGGUUUGCGUCCCAUCAGCUAGNGGCGGUGUAACGGACCACCAAGGCUAUGACGGGUACCCGGCCUGAAAGGGCGGACGGGCACGAAGGCACUGAGACACGGGCCUUACUCCUACGGGAGGCAGCAGUGGGGAAUUUUGGACAAUGGGCGAAAGCCUGAUCCAGCAACUCUGCGUGAGGGACGAAGUUCUUCGGAAUGUAAACUCUUUGUCGGGGAAGAUGCCCGCAAGGGCUUGACGGUACCGGCGAAUAAGCCACGGCUAACUAUGUGCCAGCAGCCCGCCGUAAC
rnacentral:rRNA from 1 species